rnacentral:rRNA from 1 species
UACGUAGGGGGCAAGCGUUAUCCGGAUUUACUGGGUGUAAAGGGAGCGUAGACGGUUAUGCAAGUCUGGAGUGAAAGGCGGGGGCUCAACCCCCGGACUGCUCUGGAAACUGUAGAACUAGAGUGCAGGAGGGGUAAGUGGAAUUCCUAGUGUAGCGGUGAAAUGCGUAGAUAUUAGGAGGAACACCAGUGGCGAAGGCGGCUUACUGGACUGUAACUGACGUUGAGGCUCGAAAGCGUG